UACGAAGGGGGCAAGCGUUGUUCGGAAUUACUGGGCGUAAAGGGCUCGUAGGCGGCCAACUAAGUCGGACGUGAAAUCCCCAGGCUCAACCUGGGAACUGCGUCCGAUACUGGAUGGCUUGAAUUCGGGAGAGGGAUGCAGAAUUCCAGGUGUAGCGGUGAAAUGCGUAGAUAUCUGGAGGAAUACCGGUGGCGAAGGCGGCAUCCUGGACCGACAUUGACGCUGAUGAGCGAAAGCUAGGGGAGCAAACGGG
rnacentral:rRNA from 1 species